UUGGAGGGCAAGUCUGGUGCCAGCAGCCGCGGUAAUUCCAGCUCCAAUAGCGUAUAUUAAAGUUGUUGCAGUUAAAAAGCUCGUAGUUGAAUUUCGGGGUCAGUAGGUUGGUCAUGCCACUGGUAUGUACUGGCCUCACUGAUUCCUCCUUCCUGAUGAGCCGUAAUGCCAUUAAUUUGGUGUUGCGAGGAAUCUGGACUGUUACUUUGAAAAAAUUAGAGUGUUUAAAGCAGGCUAACGCUUGAAUACAUUAGCAUGGAAUAAUGAAAUAGGACGUUCGAUCUUAUUUUGUUGGUUUCUAAGAUUGACGUAAUGAUUAAUAGGGAUAGUUGGGGGCAUUAGUAUUCAAUUGUCAGAGGUGAAAUUCUUGGAUUUAUUGAAGACUGACUACUGCGAAAGCAUUUGCCAAGGAUGUUUUCAUUAAUCAAGAACGAAAGUUAGGGGAUCGAAGACGAUCAGAUACCGUCGUAGUCUUAACCAUAAACUAUGCCGACUAGGGAUCGGAUGAUGUUAAUUUUUUAAUGACUCAUUCGGCGCCUUACGGGAAAC
rnacentral:rRNA from 1 species